UUUACUAUCCAAAUAAUUAAAGUAAUCUCUUUUAAAAAAAAUAGAUUUACUAUCCAAAUAAUCAAAGGUAAUCUCUUUAAAAACUAGAUUUACUAUCCAUAUAAUUAAAGGUUAUAAUCUCUUUUUAAAAAAAAUAGAUUUACUUUCCAAAUAAUUAAAGGUAAUCUCUUUAAAAAAAAUAGAUUUACUCUCCAAAUAAUUAAAGGUAAUCUAUUUAAAAAAAUAUAGUCAGUGAAUCAUUUCUUAAUACUAUAUAAGAUGAGCAUAGUGAUUCAUCAUUUUCAUUAUAAAAAAAUACAUUUUGAAAAAAAUCACAACCAAAAAAAAAAUUAAAAAAAAAUGGCAGCCUCUUUGUCUUUGUUUAAAGUUGUGUUUCUUAUUGUGCUAUUUUUCAUGGGCAAUGCAGAGGCAAAUAUUUGUCAAGAACCAAGCAAAACAUUCAAGGGACCAUGUGUAGAACAAGCAAAGUGUACAAGUGCUUGUCAAAGUGAGGGUUUUCAAUUUGGAGAGUGUAGUAACUCCAUAUGCUACUGCACAAAGCCAUGUCCUCCCAAUAACCAAUAAAAAAUAUUUUGUAAUUUUUAUUAUUUCUCAAUUAUCAUUUUAUUUUUAUGAGGCUCAAAUAAUAUAAACUUCUACUUUGAUGAUUAAUUUUUAUUUAUUUAUGAUUAGAGAUCUUAAAUUUUAGCUA